rnacentral:rRNA from 1 species
GGCGUAAAGCGAGCGCAGACGGUUACUUAAGCAGGAUGUGAAAUCCCCGGGCUCAACCUGGGAACKGCGUUCUGAACUGGGUGACUAGAGUGUGUCAGAGGGAGGUAGAAUUCCACGUGUAGCAGUGAAAUGCGUAGAGAUGUGGAGGAAUACCGAUGGCGAAGGCAGCCUCCUGGGAUAACACUGACGUUCAUGCUCGAAAGCGUGGGUAGCAAACAGGAUUAGAUACCCUGGUAGUCCACGCCCUAAACGAUGUCAAUUAGCUGUUGGGCAACUUGAUUGCUUAGUAGCGUAGCUAACGCGUGAAAUUGACCGCCUGGGGAGUACGGUCGCAAGAUUAAAACUCAAAGGAAUUGACGGGGACCCGCACAAGCGGUGGAUGAUGUGGAUUAAUUCGAUGCAACGCGAAGAACCUUACCUGGUCUUGACAU